rnacentral:rRNA from 1 species
CCGCUUGGGAACACCGUGUGUUGUUGCUUU